rnacentral:misc_RNA from 1 species
UUUCUGCGGAGUACACAGACAAAGUUGGAGAGCUAGCAAAGAAGUAUGGUCUGAAGCUCCACAUUGAUGGAGCUCGUAUAUUCAAUGCAUCAGUUGCACUUGGAGUGCCUGUUCAUAGGCUUGUACAGGCAGCUGAUUCAGUUUCGGUAUGCUUAUCAAAAGGUCUUGGUGCUCCAGUUGGAUCUGUGAUUGUUGGUUCGAAGAGCUUCAUUGCCAGGGCCAAAAUCCUGAGGAAGACUCUAGGCGGUGGAAUGAGGCAAAUUGGAGUCCUUUGCGCUGCUGCUUUUACCGCUUUACAAGAGAAUCUUGUUAAGCUGGAAGGAGAUCACAGAAAGGCUAAGAUUUUGGCUGCGGAACUUAACAAAAUCAAAGGGCUUAAAGUUGAUGUUGCCACUGUAGAGACCAACAUUGUAUAUUGCGACAUACUGAAGGG